rnacentral:rRNA from 1 species
UGGGGAUUAUUGCACAACGGGCGAAAGCCUGAUGCAGCGACGCCGCGUGAGGGAUGACGGCCUUCGGGUUGUAAACCUCUUUCAGUAGGGAAGAAGCGAAAGUGAUGGUACCUGCAGAAGAAGCGCCGGCUAACCACGUGCCAGCAGCCGCGGUAAUACGUAGGGCGCAAGCGUUAUCCGGAAUUAUUGGGCGUCAAGAGCUCGUAGGCGGUUUGUCGCGUCUGCCGUGAAAGUCCGGGGCUCAACUACGGAUCUGCGGUGGGUACUGGCAGACUAGAGUGAUGUAGGGGAGACUGGAAUUCCUGGUGUAGCGGUGGAAUGCGGAGGUAUCAGGAGGAACACCGAUGGCGAAGGCAGGUCUCUGGGCAUUAACUGACGCUGAGGAGCGAAAGCAUGGGGAGCGAACAGG